ACAUACAUCAUGGUCAAUUCAACAUUC
rnacentral:sRNA from 1 species